rnacentral:rRNA from 1 species
GAUGAACGCUGGCGGCGUGCCUAAUACAUGCAAGUCGAGCGAACAGACGAGGAGCUUGCUCCUCUGACGUUAGCGGCGGACGGGUGAGUAACACGUGGAUAACCUACCUAUAAGACUGGGAUAACUUCGGGAAACCGGAGCUAAUACCGGAUAAUAUAUUGAACCGCAUGGUUCAAUAGUGAAAGACGGUUUUGCUGUCACUUAUAGAUGGAUCCGCGCCGCAUUAGCUAGUUGGUAAGGUAACGGCUUACCAAGGCAACGAUGCGUAGCCGACCUGAGAGGGUGAUCGGCCACACUGGAACUGAGACACGGUCCAGACUCCUACGGGAGGCAGCGGUAGGGAAUCUUCCGCAAUGGGCGAAAGCCUGACGGAGCAACGCCGCGUGAGUGAUGAGGGUCUUCGGAUCGUAAAACUCUGUUAUUAGGGAAGAACAAAUGUGUAAGUAACUAUGCAUGUCUUGACGGUACCUAAUCAGAAAGCCACGGCUAACUACGUG